rnacentral:misc_RNA from 1 species
AAGGCGACGCCUUAGUCGCGACACAUGCGACUCGAUGACAUUGGAUGAGACGUCGUCAUCAAAACCAUAGGCGGCGACUUCAAGGGUUUCGCGCAGCACGACUCUCCCCGCGCGCCUGACCAUCGCCUCGAGAAUUGCCAGUUCGCGUCGCGGGACCACAACCGGUCUCUGGUCGAUGUAGACGGCGCGAUUGACGAUGUCGUACCUCAAAUUGGCGAUCGAAACGACGGCGCCGAUGUCGAGGAACAGACGACGCAAGACUGCUUUCGCCCUCGCAAUCAACUCGAUCGGCUCAAAUGGCUUUGCCAGAU